GCCACCCUAGCUCAACUGGUAGAGCACCCGACUUGUAAUCGGAAGGUUGUCGGUUCGAUUCCGAUGGGUGGCUCCA
rnacentral:tRNA from 12 species